rnacentral:rRNA from 1 species
GACGAACGCUGGCGGCGUGCCUAACACAUGCAAGUCGAACGGGAUCCAUGAGAGCUUGCUCUCGGAAGAUCUAGUGGCGAACGGGUGAGUAACACGUGAGAAACCUGCCCUGGAGUGGGGAAUAACUCGGGGUAACUCGAGCUAAUACCGCAUACCCUCGGAUGGUCGCAUGGCCGACCGAGGAAAGAUUUAUCGCUCUAGGAGGGUCUCGCGGCCUAUCAGCUAGUUGGUGGGGUAACGGCCUACCAAGGCAACGACGGGUAGCUGGUUUGAGAGAACGGUCAGCCACACUGGGACUGAGACACGGCCCAGACUCCUACGGGAGGCAGCAGUGGGGAAUCUUGCGCAAUGGGCGAAAGCCUGACGCAGCAACGCCGCGUGCGGGAUGACGGCCUUCGUGGUUGUAAACCGCUUUCAGCAGGGACGAAAAUGACGGUACCUGCAGAAGAAGCCCCGGCUAACUACGUGCCAGCCGCCGCCGUAAGAC